CCUACGGGAGGCAGCAGUGGGGAAUAUUGGACAAUGGGCGCAAGCCUGAUCCAGCCAUGCCGCGUGUGUGAAGAAGGCCUUCGGGUUGUAAAGCACUUUCAGUGGUGAAGAAAGGUUGAUGGUUAAUACCCAUCAGCUGUGACGUUAGCCACAGAAGAAGCACCGGCUAACUGCGUGCCAGCAGCCGCGGUAAU
rnacentral:rRNA from 1 species